UGAAUACGAGAUGCUACGGCGUCGAAGCAGUCUAUGUCAUACUUCCAAGAAAACUCGCACUGUCAUAAACAGAUAAUGCCUGUACCAUAACCGACACAGGUGGGUAGGUAGAGUAUACCAAGGGGCGCGAGAUGACUCUCUCUAAGGAACUCGGCAAAAUGACUCCGUAACUUCGGGAGAAGGAGUGCCUUAUUUUAUAAGGUUGCAAUAACAAGAUCCAAGCAACUGUUUAACAAAAACACAGGUCUCCGCUAAGUCGUAAGACGUUGUAUGGGGGCUGACGCCUGCCCAGUGCCAGAAGGUUAAAGAAGUUGGUUAGCAUCCGCGAAGCUGAUAACUGAAGCCCUGGUGAACGGCGGCCGUAACGAUAACGGUCCUAAGGUAGCGAAAUUCCUUGUCGGGUAAGUUCCGACCCGCACGAAAGGCGUAAUGAUUUGGAUACUGUCUCGGAGAGGGGCUCGGUGAAAUAGACUUGUCUGUGAAGAUGCGGACUACCUGCACCAGGACAGAAAGACCCUAUGAAGCUUUACUGUAACUUGAAAUUGAAAUUGGACUUUACUUGCGCAGUAUAGGUGGGAGGCGUUGAAAAUAUUCUUGCGGGAGUAUUGGAGCCAUCAGUGAGAUACCACUCUUGUAAUGUUAGAUUUCUAACUUUGUAUCAUGAUCUGGUCAAAGAACAGUUUCAGGCGGGCAGUUUGACUGGGGCGGUCGCCUCCCAAACGGUAACGGAGGCGCACAAAGGUUUCCUCUGAACGGGUAGAAAUCGUAUCUAGAGUGUAAAGGCAUAAGGAAGCUUGACUGUGAGACCUACAAGUCGAGCAGGGACGAAAGUCGGUCUUAGUGAUCUGACGGUGCUGAGUGGAAAGGCCGUCACUCAACGGAUAAAAGUUACUCUAAGGAUAACAGGCUGAUCUCCCCCAAGAGUUCACAUCGACGGGGAGGUUUGGCACCUCGAUGUCGGCUCAUCGCAUCCUGGGGCGGUAGUACGUCCCAAGGGUUGGGCUGUUCGCCCAUGAAAGCGGUACGCGAGCUGGGUUCAGAACGUCGUGAGACAGUUCGGUCCAUAUCCGGUGUAGGCGUUAGAAUAUUGAGAGGAGCCUUCUUUAGUACGAGAGGACCGAGAAGGACAUACCUCUGGUGUACCAGUUAUCGUGCCAACGGUAGACGCUGGGUAGCCAUGUAUGGAGUGGAUAACCGCUGAAAGCAUCUAAGUGGGAAGCCCACCUCAAGAUAAGUAUUCUCA
rnacentral:rRNA from 1 species